rnacentral:rRNA from 1 species
AUUGAACGCUGGCGGCAUGCUUUACACAUGCAAGUCGAACGGUAACAGGCCUUCGGGUGCUGACGAGUGGCGAACGGGUGAGUAAUGCAUCGGAACGUGCCCAGAGGUGGGGGAUAACGCAGCGAAAGCUGUGCUAAUACCGCAUGUGAUCUGAGGAUGAAAGCGGGGGACCAGGCAGCAAUGUUUGGCCUCGCGCCUUUGGAGCGGCCGAUGUCAGAUUAGGUAGUUGGUGGGGUAAAGGCCUACCAAGCCGACGAUCUGUAGCUGGUCUGAGAGGACGACCAGCCACACUGGGACUGAGACACGGCCCAGACUCCUACGGGGGGCAGCAGUGGGGAAUUUUGGACAAUGGGCGCAAGCCUGAUCCAGCAAUGCCGCGUGCGGGAAGAAGGCCUUCGGGUUGUAAACCGCUUUUGUACGGAACGAAAAGGCUCUGGCUAAUACCUGGGGCUGAUGACGGUACCGUAAGAAUAAGCACCGGCUAACUACGUG